CCCCUAGAUGUUCUGGGCCGCACGCGCGCUACACUGAACAGUUCAACAAGUCUUAACCUUGGCCGAUAGGUCUGGGUAAUCUUUGAACGCUGUUCGUGAUUGGGAUAGACCUUUGCAAUUAUGGGUCUUCAACGAGGAAUUCCUAGUAAACGCAAGUCAUCAGCUUGCAUUGAUUACGUCCCUGCCCUUUGUACACACCGCCCGUCGCACCUACCGAUUGAAUGGUCCGGUGAAAAUUUCGGACAGUGACGAUGCUGGCGGUCCGCCGCCGGCGCUGUCGCUGGAAGAUCUUUAAACCUUAUCAUUUAGAGGAAGGAGAAGUCGUANCA
rnacentral:rRNA from 1 species